GAAAGAGUCUGAAAUGACAACGAAUUUAUGAAUAACGGUCGACAAAUGGAGACAUAAAGGCCACACCUAGCAGGCAGGUUACAGUCUGGUCUUGAAAAAAGUAUUCAAUAUAUAAGUCCGGCGAAACAGACAUUCCGGUCAGACAUGCAAACCUCGGCCACAAAAAAAAAUAAGCCCGCUUUAUUCAUCAUGUUCAUUUAAUGCUAAAUAAUUUUGUUGGGAUUUUAGUUUCUAAUAGCAAAAAAGUGGACAAGACUAUUGUUUCAAUCCAGAUAUGGCCAGAACGGAGUUUUGCUUAAGGCAAGAAUCAGAGUCAGUUUUUUUUUCUCUCAAAUAUCUCAGACUGCCACCUCAAAUUAAAUGGUUCGUACCUGAGACUUGAAAUCUUUUUAGAGCUUAUAAAUACUGACUGGGG
rnacentral:lncRNA from 1 species